AUGAUUACUGUGACCACAUCUUCAGAACCAGAAAACAGGAUACCUGGCUCUAAUAUCAGCCCUUUAUCCCUAACUCUUUGCCUGCCAAAUGACAUAGGAGCAAAGGAUGAGAGGGAGCUUUCUUGGAGCGCGGGGCGCCCACAAUUUGUGCGCUCUCUUUCUGCUGCUCCCCAGCUCUCGGAUACAGCUGACACCAUGGGUUUCCGAGACCUGAAAAGUCCCGCCAGCCUCCAGGUGCUCAACGAUUACCUGGUGGACAAGAGCUACAUCGAAGAGUAUGUGCCAUCACAAGCAGAUGUGGCAGUAUUUGAAGCUGUGUCCGGCCCACUGCCUGCCAACUGGUGUCAUGCCCUACGUUGGUAUAAUUGCAUCAAGUCUUACCAAAAGGAAAAGGCCAGCCUGCCAGGAGUGAAGAAAGCUUUGGGUAAGUAUGGUCCUGCCGAUGUGGAAGACACUACAGGAAGUGGAGCUACAGAUAGUAAAGAUGAUGAUGAUGAUAUUGAUCUCUUUGGAUCUGAUGAUGAGAAGGAAAGUGAAGAAGCAAAGAGGCUAAGGGAAGAACGCCUUGCAUAAUAUGAAUCAAAGAAAGCCCAAAAACCUGCACUUGUUGCCAAGUCUUCCAUCUUACUAGAUGUGAAACCUUGGGAUGAUGAGACAGAUAUGGCAAAAUUAGAGGAGUGUGUCAGAAGCAUUCAGGCAGACAGCUUAGUCUAGGGCUCAUCUAAACUAGUUCCAGUGGGAUAUGGAAUUAAGAAACUUCAAAUACAGUGUGUAGUUGAAGAUGAUAAAGUUGGAACAGAUAUGCUGGAGGAGCAGAUCACUGCUUUUGAGGACUACGUGCAGUCCAUGGAUGUGGUUGCUUUCAACAAGAUCUAAAAUCCAUCCUGGAUCAUGGCAUUUAAAUAAAAGCUUGAAAGAUUAAAAAAA